rnacentral:rRNA from 1 species
AUUGAAGAGUUUGAUCAUGGCUCAGAUUGAACGCUGGCGGCAGGCCUAACACAUGCAAGUCGAGCGGCAGCGGGAAAGUAGCUUGCUACUUUUGCCGGCGAGCGGCGGACGGGUGAGUAAUGCCUGGGAAAUUGCCCAGUCGAGGGGGAUAACAGUUGGAAACGACUGCUAAUACCGCAUACGCCCUACGGGGGAAAGCAGGGGACCUUCGGGCCUUGCGCGAUUGGAUAUGCCCAGGUGGGAUUAGCUAGUUGGUGAGGUAAUGGCUCACCAAGGCGACGAUCCCUAGCUGGUCUGAGAGGAUGAUCAGCCACACUGGAACUGAGACACGGUCCAGACUCCUACGGGAGGCAGCAGUGGGGAAUAUUGCACAAUGGGGGAAACCCUGAUGCAGCCAUGCCGCGUGUGUGAAGAAGGCCUUCGGGUUGUAAAGCACUUUCAGCGAGGAGGAAAGGUCAGUAGCUAAUAUCUGCUGGCUGUGACGUUACUCGCAGAAGAAGCACCGGCUAACUCCGUGCCAGCAGCCGCGGUAAUAC